CACUGUCUCGUCAGUGCAAAUCAAAGUAAUGGACGAAACAAGACCCUGGUAUGCCCAGAGGCUGAUGGAUUAGUACCACGAAAGCUUUCUUUGAUUGCUACUUACGUAGCGAUACACUUAUAUAUACAUAUACCUGCAUGGCACAUAUAUAUAAUGUGUGUAUAUAUAUAUAUAUAUAUGUAUAUAUGUAUGUAUAUAUAAAAGUCAACUUCAGUCCGACGAGAAUCAUCAUACGAUAACAACGCAUUUCCUUCGAGUCUCUCGAGAAUCCUCAUCAACCCCUGAGGAAUUCCGUAACUGGAAGAGAAACGAAAGAUCCGAUCUCUUUAUUAAGAGAGUAUCUACCAAAUGAAGUUCGAAAAUCGUUAAUUCCUAUCAAGGGGAUCUCCUUAGACGGGACGAAUCCCUGGCUACGGGUUCGAACUCAAAAAUGCUCGAGACGGGAGAAAGCCCAACUCGAUAUACGGGCAAUUUUCCUUGUUAGGAUGAAGGAUGAACAGGGGAGAGGGGAGUGAAGAGAAGGGUGAGUAAGAGAGAGAGAGAGAGAGAGAGAGAGAGAGAGAGAGAAGGAGGAUGACGAUGUAUGCCUCCGUUUGCAGCGAACGAACGAAGAGACUUUUUUAGCCUACCAAACUUAGAAUGUUUCUCCAUAACGUGCGUGCACCUGGUGUUACUUAGAGACUUCUGGUUUUGGGAUAACAACACCAACGACCAUACUUCCAUCUUGCUAUGCCUAUCUCGGGACACUGAUGCGUGGUGUCUUCCAUGUCCUUUGAUCAUCAUAAAUGACCGACUACGAAGAAAAUCGAACGAAAGUCCGAAAAGAAUUUUCUUAGAAAUGUUUCAAAACUUUUGAGACAAAAGAAAGGAAGAGAGAAAGAGAGAAAGACAGAGAGAGAGAGAGAGAGAGAGAAAGAGAGAGAAAAAGAGAGAGAGAUAGAGAGAGAAGGCGCGCGUGUCGCGCGUACGACAAGGCCCAGAAGGGAACAUGAAUGAAGCUCCCAUUCAUGCCCUCAGAGCCCUACCUACUUGUAUCUACUGCAGCCCUUGUUUGUACCGUCUAUGGGAGCUUGCUUGAAACGGCAGAACGACGUCGUCGUCGUCGUCGUCGUCGUCGUCGUCGUCUUCGUCGUCGUCGUCGUUGGCGCCGUUGCUGCUUAUGCGCUCGCGCUCACGUUUAUUCGCCAAGAGGAAAGAAAGAAAGAAAGAAAGAAAGAAAUAAAUACGUAAGUAAGUAAGUAAGUAAGUAAGUAAGUAAGUGAGUAUAUACGUACGUAGAAAGAGGCACGCACGCAUGCACUCACGCACGCAUUGGUGCUUUUACGUCAGCCGGUCAUGUCGCGACAUAACAUGUAUAUAUACAUACUUACGUGUGUGUGUACGUGUAUGUGUGUGUGUGUGUGUAUGUGUAUGUGUAUGCGUGUAUGUGUUUGUAUAUCUGUGUUUCACGAAGCGCCGGUGUACACGUGAUCGCCAUUGUUGAUCGCUUCGCAGCGCCAGGUUGGCGCGUUAUUCCGACUUUUUGCGAGCGGAGCUACCGUAUACUCGUUUCCUUCGGCUCGUGUGCCGCGGAGAGAUAUCCGCGAAUAGGAAGAAGAUGAAGGAGGAGAAGAAGAAGGAAGGGAAGGAAAAGAAGGUGGAGAAGAAGAAGAAGAAGUUGCUUCUCUCCAUUCAUCGAUGUACUCGCAAGAUUCUGUUAUCUUUGCAAAGAUCAUCCGAUCGGAGACCGAGAUCGAGACCGAGAUCGAGAUCGAGAUCGAGAUCUAGACCAAGAUCGAGACUGGGAUGGCAAGAUGAAAUGAAAGGAAUAAGAAACAUAUUAAAAAAAAAAAGAAAAAAAAAGAAAAAAAAACGACCCAAUGAUAUGAAAUUUGAUUGCUACAAGCAUAUAAAGGACUCAGAUAAAGUCCGCAAGAAACGUUGAUUUUGUUCCGUAAAUCUUGUCGGUUCGAUUUUGGUUUCGACUUUGCUCGAUAACGUAGCAAUGGAAAUUAAAAUGGCAGCUGAAACGAUUUAUCGUUAUGUUAUACGUGUUGUAAGCGAACGACGGAACAUCGAUAAGGUAAAAUUAUGUUUGAAAUUAAAUCGGAAAGAAAAAGAAAAAGAAAAAGAAAAAGAAAAAGAAAAAGAUGUAGCACAAGAAGGACAAGAAGAAAAAUAAAAAGGAGGAACUUUCCGUUUCUCUUCCUGAAAAAAAUGACUUCAUCCACAGACGAUUCCAAGGAGCUCGUUGGAGGACAAAUAGACAUUCGUAAUCGCGAAUGCAUGAAGAAGCUUCGAAAUAACAGCUGUUCUUAUCUCGCUUGUAUCGAUCAAGAUUAGCUUCGAGCGGAUGGAUACGUACCAGUUACUAGAGACAUAGACAAAAAAAAUUGUGAACCUGCGUCGAAGCGUACAGCCAUUCACGAGAUUAGCUUAGUUGCGUGACUGUUCGAGCGUGAUAUUCGAAAGUGCCGGACGAAGUAAUCGAAUCUUGGAAGUUCAAACGGGAUGUAUUAUACAGGAUGGUCUAACGAUUGUUGUAACAUCCUGUAUAUAUAAAACAAAUAAAAAGUAUACAGAAAAAAAAAAAUCUUUUACCUGCGGAGCUAAAUUUUAUUAAAAAAAAAAAAAAAAAAAGAAUAAGAAGAAGAAAAGAAAAGAAAAAAUAAAUCGAUUGUAUAACAUCCUAAUCGAUGUCACAUAGUUUUUAUUCGAUCAAUUUGAACAUGUAUUUGGAAUCAUCCUGUAUACCGUGUUUAUACGUACCAAUGUUAUUAUUGAUUAUUAAAACGAUUUUUAAAAGGAUAAAUAGUAAAAAUAAUACAUUAAUCCUUGGUUAAUAUUGAACCGAGAGAUAUUUCAAAGAGAUCGAUCAGAAACAGAAUUCGAGAGUCCGAUUACUCAAGAAAGACUCGGAUUAUUACAGGUAUCGACUUCCUGAGAAAUAACCUACUUUCGGUCAAG